rnacentral:lncRNA from 1 species
UCCCUCCAACCUGAAACACCAGCCCGGGAUGGACCCCCUCCAACCUGAAACACCAGCCCGGGACGGACCCCCUCCAACCUGAAACACCAGCCCGGGAUGGAUCCCCUCCAACCAGAAACACCAGCCCGGGACGGACCCCCUCCAACCUGAAACACCAGCCCGGGACGGACCCCCUCCAACCUGAAACACCAGCCCGGGAUGGAUACCCGGAGCGAUGCCCAGCUAGCUAGCUUACUGUUGCCAGGGUCAGUGGAGUGGCAUCAGGGCAAAAGGAUGGGUCUGGGAUAUGUAACCUGACAUUCCCUUCCUGAGCUCACGGCCUCCAUCUAACCUCCUGUCUCAUUUACCCUGAGACAAGCAAGUAGAAUUUCUAUUCAAAUGAAGGAGAAUAUUGGAGUAAAAUGGGGCGGGAGAGUGGAUUAAUAUAAAGAUAUGUUUAAUUCUACUUGUGAUAUUUACUACACUAACAUUCAUUGUAUUUCCAAACACACGUAAUUGUUAUUAAUAUUAUUGUUGAUGAACUAUUAUAUAGCAAAUGGGGACGGACACCGAUAUGGAAAAAAUAAAACUGUUGUUUUUUGUAAAUUCAUCUCUGGGUUUUGUAGGGAGAUAAAUGAUUUUGGUAACCUGUACAUUUCCGGCACCAUUCUGGUAUGUAAACAGUUUAGAGUGCCACACUCCAUUCAAGUUAUAGGACCGGUUUCCUGAACACAGAUUAAUCCUCGAUGGCGAUUCUGCGUUGAGUUUGCAUUUUAGUCCAGGACUAGUCUUAAUCUGUGUCCAGGAAACCACCCCAUAGUCUUUAUAUUUCUCAGGUGAGAUCAGGUUCUGAUAGUGAACCUUUUGUCUUUUUUUUUUUAUCCAACUGUCUACAUGAUGAUAAUAACAAACUCUGGUCGUAAUAAACACAUUUAUUAACACUGUUGAAAGAGCAAACCUCUUGGCAGUUUACAAAACACAGAUUAAGCUUCAUAUUAUUUGUAAUUAUGUUCCCAGCACCUUGACCAUUCGCUCAAUAAUUUUUUUUUUUUUUUUAUUGUCCCGCGGCUCAAAUCUAGUUUAUAAUCCCUGUCGUUGACUGGACAUGAAGAGCAUAGUUGUUGAUGUGCUGUAAAACUUCAUUUAUGACUGAUGUUCUCGUUAUGAUGCAAAUCUUUGUAAUAUAUUACAAUCUUGGACUACGGACCCAAUAUAAUGACAAUAUUAUAUGUUAAAUGCAACCAUAGUUUAAAUAAAAAUAAAGUAAUUGUCAACCUGUUUUAUUGAUAUCGAUGACCUUCUAUCAAUAUGCUUAAAUAAAAACAAUGUCUUAAACACAAGUUCCUUUUUGUGAGACUUUUUUGUCCAAAUAAUCAAUAGUGUAAAUAUGAUCACCUUGGUACCUUGUAAAGCUGUUUUUAUAUUUAUUGUAUAUCUUUUUCUUAUCCAACUUAUAAUUUGUUUCAUAUUUUAGG